UUUUUAGAGUUGGUUUGUAUUGAUUUAUAACAACAGAAAAUACAUUACAAAAUCUCCCAUAAAAUGGUUCAUCUAAAUCUAAUUCACUGCAGGAUGCCUGUUAAAAAGAAAAAUUAAAGAAACUUUAAAACUAGAUAAUGGCAACCGAAGAAGUUGAAACACUGUUAUUCAUCAAGUGUUAGUUAUAUGCAAGAUAUGGCAUGGUAUGGCACACUGCAUGGUAUGCCCUAAAUAAUAUUAUCAAUAAGUAUUUUUAUCUAUACUUUGUAAAUAUAUAUGCUAUAAAUUAUUAUAUUAUUCAAAUGUUUAUUUUUAAUUUAUAAAAUUAGUGUAAAAGUGGAUGAAAGCACUAAAAAAAACGAUAACAAUAAACUUUUAAGCAAAAUUUUGUCAUACAAUUAUGGUGGCGAUAUAAGAGAACUACUGUGGCAGAAUAUUACUAUCGUAGAACAGUAUUGCAUCAAAUCAUUUUAUAUUAUUAGUUUUUUGUUGCUUAAAAAAAUAUAAUGUAAUUCGAA